rnacentral:rRNA from 1 species
CACGUAGGGCGCAAGCGUUGUCCGGAAUUAUUGGGCGUAAAGAGCUCGUAGGCGGUUUGGCAAGUCGGGUGUGAAAACUCCGGGCUCAACUCGGAGACGCCACUCGAUACUGCUAUGACUCGAGUCCGGUAGGGGAGUGCAGAAUUCCUGGUGUAGCGGUGAAAUGCGCAGAUAUCAGGAGGAACACCGGUGGCGAAGGCGGCACUCUGGGCCGUACUGACGCUGAGGAGCGAAAGCGUGGGGAGCGAACAGG